GACGAACGCUGGCGGCGUGCUUAACACAUGCAAGUCGAACGGAAAGGCCCUGCUUUUGUGGGGUGCUCGAGUGGCGAACGGGUGAGUAACACGUGAGUAACCUGCCCUUGACUUUGGGAUAACUUCAGGAAACUGGGGCUAAUACCGGAUAGGAGCUCCUGCUGCAUGGUGGGGGCUGGAAAGUUUCGGUGGUUGGGGAUGGACUCGCGGCUUAUCAGCUUGUUGGUGGGGUAGUGGCUUACCAAGGCUUUGACGGGUAGCCGGCCUGGGAGGGUGACCGGCCACAGUGGGACUGAGGUACGACCCAGACGCCAACGGGAGGCAGAGGUGGGAAAUAGAGCACGAAGGGCGGAAUCCUGAUACAACGACUCCGGGUGCUGGAGGACGGCCGUCGGGUUAUAAACCGCUUUCGCCUGUGACGAAGCGUGAGUGACGGUAAUUGAUAAAGAAGCACCGGCUAACUACGUG
rnacentral:rRNA from 1 species